rnacentral:sRNA from 1 species
CUGUUUGUCUUUCCCACUACAGCAUAUGUUUCAUUCAAUCAGGUAUCUUGUUUUGGUUCCUACUGUAUCCUAGAAUUUUGCUUAGUUCAUACCGGAUAUUUAGCUGUCUUCAUAAAACAAGUAAGUGAAGUGCUGCUAAGGGGACAGCCCAUAUGCAUUAAACAAAAUCUUGUAUUUCCACAGGACAUUCCCAAUUAGAGGCUUUCAGAUUUAUGAUGGGCCCAUUCAUCUCACAAGGAGCACUUUCAAAAAAUAUGUGCCAACUCCAGAUAGGUACAGCAGUGCAAUUGGCUUCCUCAUGAAGAAUUCCUGGCAGAUAACCCCCAGGAAUAAUAUCUCCCUCGUGAAGUUUGGUCCACAUGUCUCUCUGAAUGUCUUUUUUGGAAAGCCUGGUCCCUGGUUUGAAGAUUGUGAGAUGGAUGGUGAUAAGAACUCCAUAUUCCAUGACAUUGAUGGCUCUGUGACAGGAUACAAGGAUGCUUAUGUGGGAAGAAUGGACAACUACCUGAUCCGCCAUCCAAGCUGUGUAAAUGUGUCUAAGUGGAAUGCAGUGAUCUGCAGUGGGACCUAUGCACAGGUCU